rnacentral:rRNA from 1 species
GAUGAACGCUGGCGGCGUGCCUAAUACAUGCAAGUCGAGCGAACUGAUUAGAAGCUUGCUUCUAUGACGUUAGCGGCGGACGGGUGAGUAACACGUGGGCAACCUGCCUGUAAGACUGGGAUAACUUCGGGAAACCGAAGCUAAUACCGGAUAGGAUCUUCUCCUUCAUGGGAGAUGAUUGAAAGAUGGUUUCGGCUAUCACUUACAGAUGGGCCCGCGGUGCAUUAGCUAGUUGGUGAGGUAACGGCUCACCAAGGCAACGAUGCAUAGCCGACCUGAGAGGGUGAUCGGCCACACUGGGAUUGAGACACGGCCCAGACUCCUACGGGAGGCAGCAGUAGGGAAUCUUCCGCAAUGGACGAAAGUCUGACGGAGCAACGCCGCGUGAGUGAUGAAGGCUUUCGGGUCGUAAAACUCUGUUGUUAGGGAAGAACAAGUACGAGAGUAACUGCUCGUACCUUGACGGUACUUAACCAGAAAGCCACGGCUAACUACGUGCCAGCAGCCGCGGUAACAC